CUCUCGCAUGGAUGAAGAACGCAGCGAAAUGCGAUAAGUAAUGUGAAUUGCAGAAUUCAGUGAAUCAUCGAAUCUUUGAACGCACCUUGCGCUCCCUGGUAUUCCGGGGAGCAUGCCUGUUUGAGUGUCAUGGUAUUCUCAUCCUUCAUAACUUUUGUUAUCGAAGGCAUGGACUUGGAGGUCGUGCUGGUUCCUCGUUGAAUCGGCUCCUCUUAAAUGUAUUAGCGUGAGUGUAACGGAUCGCUUCGGUGUGAUAAUUAUCUGCGCCGUGGUCGUGAAGUAACAUAAGCUUGCGCUUCUAACCGUCCUUAAGUUGGACAACUUACUUUGACAUCUGACCUCAAAUCAGGUAGGACUACCCGCUGAACUUAAGCAUAUCAAUAAGCGGAGGA
rnacentral:rRNA from 1 species